rnacentral:rRNA from 1 species
AUACGUAGGGGGCAAGCGUUGUCCGGAAUGAUUGGGCGUAAAGGGCGCGUAGGCGGCCCGGUAAGUCUGAAGUGAAAGUCCUGGUUUUAAGCUGGGAAUUGCUUUGGAUACUGUCGGGCUUGAGUGCAGGAGAGGUAAGUGGAAUUCCCAGUGUAGCGGUGAAAUGCGUAGAGAUUGGGAGGAACACCAGUGGCGAAGGCGACUUACUGGACUGUAACUGACGCUGAGGCGCGAAAGUGUGGGGAGCAAACAGGAUUAGAUACCCUGGUAGUCCACACUGUAAACGAUGAAUGCUAGGUGUGGGGGGUAUCGACCCCUUCUGUGCCGCAGUUAACACAAUAAGCAUUCCGCCUGGGGAGUACGGCCGCAAGGUUGAAACUUAAAUGAAUUGACGGG